CCGUUUCCUUGGGGGUAGCCCCGGAGCUGAAGUCAUCCCUCGCUGCUGGACUCUGCUUGCUGGUUACCUUGACGACGGCGGCGGCGGGAGUGGAAGGAGCAGAGGUGGCGGCUGCCGCUGGUUGUUGGCGGCUGUCGCGCGGCCCUGGGAGUCGCUACCGAUGCUCUGUGAUGAAGAAUUUUGAAGAAGUUAAAAGUCAUCACCUGCAUUGCAACGACAUGAAUGUAAUCAUGUUCACCUCAUCCAAGUCAGAGAAAUUGAUCCUCUGGUGGAUCUUGUCCAGCUCCGCCUGGUCCGGGACGGAGCGUUGGCUGGUGUAUUUGACGUGCACGGUCUUGCGGCGCACGCCCCACAGGGUGGAAUUGGGCGAAAUGUCGUUGGUUAGGCGGCUUUCUGCCACCAAGGAAGCUGACAGCUUUCUUUUAUUUUUCUCUGAUGAGCGGUUUGGCUUCUUCUGCUGUGUCCCACUCCAGUCCUGAAAUGUCACGAGCAAUCAUCGAUAUUAACAACAACAAAUGUCUGCAAGGUACACAAAUGUGUACAAUUGUGCUUCUGAUGUGUCAAAUGUAGUUUUUACUUAUUUAGUGUGGGUUUACCAUGUUGUUGAGUCGGUCCUCCAAGCUAGCGUUGGUGACGCUCCAGUUGUGCAGCUCGUCCGCGCUGUCAUCCAAAGGAGCGCCUCCGGUUGCCAUGUUACCACCCACUUAGCUGAAAACAACAACAAAAAUGCUCAAGAAUGACAUUGAUUAAGUUUGGUUUGGCUCCAACCACCUUCAGUGUUUAACUGCCACCCCCCUCGACGUUUUCACACGGGCCGAGCUACAUGACUCGCUUUCUCCAAGUUGACCCGCUUGCAGUUAGGCAGGCGUUAAAACGGCUCUGAAAGGCGUCACUUGAGCGUCAUAAAAGGGAACGCGAGAAAGAGCCAACCUACACGCUGUCAAAGCGAACCGCCACGAACGAUGAAAGGCCGAAAAACUACUGCUGGAAAUGCGGACAUGUUAUCUCGCGGGAGGGGGUGCGCAACUUUGAAGUGGUUCCGAGCCCCGGGAAUCACCAUGGCAACGUCCCCACGACCCUCGUUAUGUAGCUUCUGAGUCGUCGAGCAUCGGUCUCACCUCACGAAAACAAAGUUUGUGCUAAGUAAUAUUAUAAUAAAUGGCUGUAAAGGCUAAUGGCGUCACUUGUGUGCGAAUGAAAUGUGUGUGAGGGUGGUUACCUGGCUAAUGCUACUGUUAGCAUCUUGCCAUUAGGCAACGCCAACUAUCUCCCAAAACUAUAAUCCAGGUAAACUAAAGCCACCUGACCAAGUACGGUACAAAUAAUCCAAAAUAGCAAACGAAUUCGCACUGUUUUCGGGUACUUAGCGUGUGAGUAAACUGUUAGCUAACUCGUUUGAUCAAAGUGAAUUCAUAUAAUAAUUACCGUAGCUUUAGAAGUUGUGCUUCGUUGGAUCCAUGGGGAAAAUGCCUAUGCUGUCAAUCACGUGUUUUUUCCGCUUCUACGGAGUUUGCUUGGUGUAAAUAAACCAAUUGUUUGGGAUGUCUUGCUGAA